rnacentral:misc_RNA from 1 species
GCUACUACCGAUUGAAUGGUUUAGUGAGGACUCCUGAUUGGCGCCGCCGCCCCGGCAACGGAGCAGCGGACUGGCGAAAAGUUGUUCAAACUUGAUCAUUUAGAGGAAGUAAAAGUCGUAACAAGGUUUCCGUAGGUGAACCUGCAGAAGGAUCAAGAUCGGAAUACGGUUGUUUGGGUAAAGGGGGUGGAUUUCGUUGGUCGCCGAUUCUUUAAAACAAAAAUUAAAUCCUCUCGAUCUACUUUAAUCCGCUACCUUCACCUCCAUUCACUCUAUU